AGUGAACGCUGGCGGUAGGCCUAACACAUGCAAGUCGAACGGCAGCACAGUAAGAGCUUGCUCUUACGGGUGGCGAGUGGCGGACGGGUGAGGAAUACAUCGGAAUCUACUUUUUCGUGGGGGAUAACGUAGGGAAACUUACGCUAAUACCGCAUACGACCUACGGGUGAAAGCAGGGGAUCGUCGGACCUUGCGCGAUUGAAUGAGCCGAUGUCGGAUUAGAUAGUUGGCGGGGUAAAGGCCCACCAAGGCGACGAUCCGUAGCUGGUAUGAGAGGAUGAUCAGCCACACUGGAACUGAGACACGGUCCAGACUCCUACGGGAGGCAGCAGUGGGGAAUAUUGGACAAUGGGCGCAAGCCUGAUCCAGCCAUACCGCGUGGGUGAAGAAGGCCUUCGGGUUGUAAAGCCCUUUUGUUGGGAAAGAAAAGCAGCAGGUUAAUACCCCGCUGUUCUGACGGUACCCAAAGAAUAAGCACCGGCUAACUUCGUG
rnacentral:rRNA from 1 species